rnacentral:tRNA from 1 species
UGGCUCGGUAGCUCAGUUGGUAGAGCAAUGGAUUGAAGCUCCAUGUGUCGGCGGUUCGAUUCCGUCUCGCGCCAUAGU